UUCUUUUUUCUUUUUUCUUUUUUCUUUUUUCUUUUUUCUUUUUUCUUUCUUUCUUUUUAUUACGAACCACACAGUCACCCAGGUGUCUAUCGACCAAACUUGGUUACAAAAGAGAAACACAGAGAGUUUUGCUUUUUC
rnacentral:ribozyme from 1 species